rnacentral:lncRNA from 10 species
AGGAAGUAUGCCUGAAGCAGGUAGGUUAUAGUUUGGUUUUAUACAUUUCCAGGAGAAAAGAGUUACAGGCGAAGACAUAAAUCGAUACAUGGAAAGUAUAUAUUGAUUCAGCCCAAAAAAGCAGGACAUCUCCAAGCAGGGACUUAGUAGUUAUAGGUGGGUCUUAAGGAUUCUUCAGUUGACAAUUGGUUGAGAGGGUUAAGCUAUUGUCUAAAGGCUUAAAGUCAAUAGUAAGUAAUGCUUGAGUUAAAGGAGGUUGUGGGGUCCAAGGUUCUUGUUACGUUGAUGAAUCCUCAUAGGUAGCAGCCCUCCGAGAGAAUCAAUGGCAAACGUCUGUCUCUUUGCAGACCUUUGAGAUGUCAGACUCUCAGUUCAACUCUGCCAGAACUGGGAAAAGC